rnacentral:rRNA from 1 species
UACCAGCCCCCUGAGUGGUAAGGACGAUUAUUUGGCUUAAAGCGUCCGUAGCCGGCUUAGUGAGUCUCUUGUUAAAUCCAAUGAUUCAAUCAUUGAACUGCAAGAGAUACUACUAUGCUAGAGGACGGGAGAGGUCGACGGUAGUCCAAGGGUAGGGGUGAAAUCCUAUAAUCCUUGGAGGACCACCAGUGACGAAGGCGGUCGACUAGAACGUGCCUGACGGUGAGGGACGAAAGCUGGGGGAGCGAACCGGAUUAGAUACCCGGGUAGUCCCAGCUGUAAACGAUGCGGGCUAGGUGUAGGGGCAGCUACGAGCUGCUCCUGUGCCGCAGAGAAAUUGUUAAGCCCGCCGCCUGGGGAUACGAUCGCAAGAUUGAAACUUAAAGGAAUUGGCGGGGAGCACCACAAGGGGUGAAGGCUGCGGUUU